rnacentral:rRNA from 1 species
AUUGAACGCUGGCGGCAUGCCUUACACAUGCAAGUCGAACGGCAGCACGGGAGCAAUCCUGGUGGCGAGUGGCGAACGGGUGAGUAAGUAUAUCGGAACGUGCCCGGUCGUGGGGAUAACGUAGCGAAAGCUACGCUAAUACCGCAUACGAUCUACGGAUGAAAGCGGGGGGAUCGCAAGACCUCGCGCGAUUGGAGCGGCCGAUAUCAGAUUAGGUAGUUGGUGAGGUAAAGGCUCACCAAGCCGACGAUCUGUAGCUGGUCUGAGAGGACGACCAGCCACACUGGGACUGAGACACGGCCCAGACUCCUACGGGAGGCAGCAGU